CCUUCCCUCCUCCUCCACCUCUUCCUUCCCAGCCUUCCUCCUUCUGACUUCCUCCUCCUCAGCCCUCCUCUGCUCAGCUACCAGCCAAAUUCACACACAGCAGAACAGGUUUACCUGUGUGAAUAACUCUUAAAAGAUGAAGAAAUUGAGGGGAUCUCAGGCACGAAAGUUUUUCUACCUCCAUAUUCUUGAAUUACCUGUAAAAAGUUGUGUCAAAAAAUAGCAGGUGACCACAUAAAAUUUAUAAAGCAUCACAGGCAUUCCCAUUUGCUUCACAAUGACAUCACACCAAUAAAUUGUGAGAUUCGCCUCUGUGAGCAGAAGAGAGCUAGGCUGAAGUCUGAUUUUGGAUGUUUGGGUCUUGUCAAGCUCCUACAGAAGUUGAAUUGGUAAAACCAGGGUGUCUGAUUGCUGCACUUCCACUGCAGGCCAUGCAGUAAGGUAUGGUGUUGUUAUUGGACACGAAAUGAGUUCACAGAAGCUUGGUAAGUUUAAAAGAGAAAAAGUGCCACUUUUAUUCAAACAUCUGAUAUUUAUAGAAUUCCAAAGGUGACUGUGGAUUGGAGGAUGGAAUUACCACCUCUCCAACCACACUGCUCCAAGGAUCAAUCAAUAAUUUCUCUCCACCCACAGAGAAAUAUGUAAACUAUUCUAUUUACACAUGAAAUUGUGUGGGAACUCUGAUUCUCAAAUAUGUAAACAUUAUCAGAAGGCUAAAGAAGUUUUAGGAAAAUUUUAAACUUUUAAAAGAACUACAAAAGAAAACUUAACACUUUUAAAAAUCAGGGCAACAGUAUGGGGCACUCAGGAAUGACACAGGACUGGGAUUUCAUACUCCUUGCUGUUUCCAGACCUGGUCUGUGGUACUUCAGCUUCAGCUCAAACUUUCGGAAGAUCUGAUUCCCUUUUGGGAUCUGUGGGUUUCUGCCUACUUCAGGAAUAGGGUGCAUGUGGUGAGAAGAGCAGACUCACCAUCGUUACCGUUAACACACAAAUUGGUUUUUCAGGCAUUAUCCUCAUUCACCUUGGACAAGUGAUUUAGUUAAAUGAUGGGAUCUAAAUGUCUUCACCAAGACUAAGAGAAACUUGGCAUCUGCCCAGGCAGUAUUUGGUCACUGCAGUUUCUGAGCUAAAUGGGAGACAAGCCAAAAAAAAAAUUUUAAAGCUAUUUCCCUGGCUCAGAGAUGUUUGCAAACACUGACACAGUGCCCAUGGAUCAGACAGAAGUUAUGGAAGUUCAUUAAUUUAAAUAAUGAUCAGGAGCCUCACUCUGUUCCUCCAGUUUGUGUCAUGUUGUUGUGGAGGCAUCUACAGACAGGCAAAAUAAAGUACAGGUUGUGACAAGCCCACACUGUUUACCAUAUGUGGCUGAAGUGAAUUCUACAACUGAUCUUCUAAUAGUAUCAAGCAUAUUUGCCUUAAAAGUUAACUAAAUUUCUGUUUUCAGCAUUUUGCUGCACGUUUGAAGACUACUUUUGUGACACUUCAGUUUCAACAGAAGUGGCUUUUCCCUUCAUGAAACAAUGAUAUUCAUUAGGUGAUUUUACAAACAUUCCUUCACUGGAAUGGUGUUACACCUCAGCUUGUUCCUGAAUCUUCUUUUGGUUUUUUCUCAUUUUUGUUUCUCAGUGCAGCAUCUCAGUUCAAACUGUGACUGCGUGCUCUUUGUCAGAAGCUGCUUCUGGUGUUGCUAGAACCAUGUAGAACCCAGCAAGAUGGGAAGAGGGUGGCUGAGGCUGACAAGUGCCACAGCAAUACCUGUGACAUUGCACAAGCUUGAUUGUCAGAGUUCCAGUUCUCCUUGAUUCUGUCUCCCCAACAGCUAAAAUCGAGGCUUUUCGCAAGAACUUCUGCUAAAAGAAAAACUGAAAGUGCAACAGGGCAAACCAAAUUACAGCAAAAUUCCAACAUGUUUUUCCUCAGGAAGAUCCCAACCCUGCUGUCAUCAGUGGAAGCAGCAGUUUGCUCUGAACUCGAUACUGCAUUGAUCUCGUCUGUGCCUCCAUGCAGAAACAUCUAAAUGAGCAUUUGUUUUUUCUAGUAUUAACUUUUAAAAAGAAACAACCACUCCCCUGUGGAGAGGCAUUCAUAUGAGCUGACAAGAAGCAUCCUCUCUUUUCAGGUUCCAAAAAGUGGUGAUUUCAGUGCAGGAAGGUGAGCCUUGUCUCCAAGACCUUUUUCUCUUUGGGCUGCAGAAACAACAGCCAACUUCUUUGUAGCCUAAAUUAGCUGAGGAUAAAGAAAAACCAACACUCUGGGGAAAAUUCUGAGGGAAACAAGAAGGAGGAGAGAAAAAAUUCUUCACCUGAAAAAAAAUCCAAACUUUUUAGAAUAAAACAAACUUUUCAAAAUAAAAUAGAUUUUUCAAUUUCUGAGACUUUUAGGCUAAAAAAAAAAAGGGUGUCUUUUCCUAUUAAGAAAAUUGCUUUCACUUUCCUGCAAUGAAGGGAGUUUCUAAUGAUGAGAGAAGUUGAGUGUAGCUGAAGUGGGGAUCCAGCUAUCAAUGCGUCACCAGCUAAAUGUGAUUUGAGAUGCAGUUUGCUUUUCUGUAUCUCAGAUCUCAGGGCUAAACCACAAACUGUACAUGACACAACUAAAUUAAUAUUUAAAAAUAAUUACUUGCUGCCUGAAGGUAAACAGAAAAAGGGUAAAUAAUUGAUAGCACUGGGACUGCCACACUGUAACUCUGCUGAGCGUUUAUGAUGUGCUGUGAAGGUUCAAAGGGAUUGCUCGUCUGCUGCCUCUGAAGGAGGGUUUUUGCUAAUCAUUCCAGGGCUUGUUUUGUCAGCCAGCAAUGUUUUCAGAGUUUGAAGCACCAGAAUAGAAUGCCAGCUUAAUUUAGCCCAUCAACAUCUGAAGGGAAAUUUUAUGUGGUCUGCUGCCAAGAAUGUAGAAUAACUUGCAUUUAAGGAGUUGUUACAUAACAUGCCAUCCUAUGACAAUACCUGUCUGCAGAGCCUGGUGAUGCCUUGAGAGUUGGUGGCUCUUCUCUUUUCAGUGAGGUGUAUGCCAGCAGCAGAGAAGCCGUCCGAGUGAAGCUUCCCAGAGAAUGCAGUAAAUACAUGCAAUAAAGAGAUUUUUCUAGUGAAAUCCCCACUUGUGAACUGUUCAUGGGUGUAAGAAAAAUGGAUCUGAGGUCUUGCCACCUGAGUUCCCUUCCUCUCCCUCAGUAGGUUAUCAGCAUGAAAACAGGAAAUGAAUUGGACACCAUUAAUAAAACAUGAAGCCUUCGUGUUCAGGUUCUGUGCUCUGUCGUUCAAGUGAAGAAGACACUGUGUGAGAAGGAAUCAGAGGAGUGACAUCCACAAGUUCAUUUACUCUUUUUAACUACACAGCAAACUUUGGCUCAGACUUGGAAGCAAACCAUUCUUUUCUUCCCCUGAAUUUAUUGAAAAGCUUUUAAGCCCUCAUAUAGAAAACCUGAGGGAUUGUUACUGAACUGAGAGUAGUCUUUCAGAACAUAAAAUGUUUUCCUAAUAGAUUUCACCAAUAAUUAGAUAUUGUCAAUACUGAUUUUUUACUUAGCAGUGUCUUUCACUGUGAUAUAAAAUUUUAGACCUUGUUUUCUUGCAUUUAUUUUUGGAGCUUUUGGCAUGGCACAGACUUUUUUUCACUGUGAUAGAUGUCCUUUUUUUUGCCAGUUGCUUGUUUGUGAUUUCAGCCGCAUCCUCAGAAAAGUACCUUGAUCUUUUUUGGGGGCUCAUUUCGCUAGAGGAAAAUGUAUGAUUGACCCAUCUCAUAAAAUCAUUGUUUUUCACCAAAGAACAAAUUACUAACUUCAAAGAAUAGAAACCUAUAUGAAGCAGACUGAAGGACACCCCACCACUGGCAGCACCACCACCUUUUCUGUCUGUGCUUUGAAACCCUCUCGUGAAAGCUCAUGGUCCCAGCAGCAAUCCAGUGAUGGGAGUUUGCAAACUUGUUAGGAAAAAGUCAUGGGAACAAAAGUAGAAGACCCGGUUCAGCCAGAAAAAGAAGACUUCUGCAGUUGUAAUAAAGGCUUGGUUUGCUCUA